rnacentral:rRNA from 1 species
AGUGAACGCUGGCGGUAGGCCUAACACAUGCAAGUCGAACGGCAGCACAGUAAGAGCUUGCUCUUACGGGUGGCGAGUGGCGGACGGGUGAGGAAUACAUCGGAAUCUACUUUUUCGUGGGGGAUAACGUAGGGAAACUUACGCUAAUACCGCAUACGACCUACGGGUGAAAGCAGGGGAUCUUCGGACCUUGCGCGAUUGAAUGAGCCGAUGUCGGAUUAGCUAGUUGGCGGGGUAAAGGCCCACCAAGGCGACGAUCCGUAGCUGGUCUGAGAGGAUGAUCAGCCCAAAUGGAACUGAGACAAGGUCCCGACUCCUAAGGGAGGCAGCAGUGGGGAAUAUUGGACCAUGGGCGCAAGCCUGAUCCCGCCCUACCGCGUGGGUGAAGAAGGCCUUCGGGUUGUAAAGCCCUUUUGUUGGGAAAGAAAAGCCGCCGGUUAAUACCCCGCUGUUCUGACGGUAACCAAAGAAUAAGCAACGGCUAACCUCGUG